CAAUGGAGGAUACUUAGCAGAUUGUACAGUCGGUACGCAGGGGAGGUUAUUUUACGGCCAUUUGAUCGGAUGUGAAGUAGAAUUGUAAUAUUUUUAUUAAACAUUUUGCAAUAAGUAAUAUUUCUUAAUUGAUUUAAAAUUGCAACUUGAAAAAUAAGAAGGAGAUACAUCGUGAAGAACAAUUGUCUAUGUCUCCAGUGUGAAGCCCAAUAUCCCCUCAAUUAUUCAUUCCCAUCUGUUGCUACUAUUUAUCUAAUGGAGAGGAACACUAUAUGCGCUAUAUCCAUUAAUAAGCAGGGUAGUUCACAACAGAUGAACGUAUUACCUAAUUGGAUUAAAACUUAUUUACAAGAGUAAGAUGCUAACUUGGUGAUCGCAUACCCCUGCUUUUGGGAUCAUAAUUUGAUUAUUUCAUUACGAAGAAGAAUAGUUUCUUGAGAUCUUAUUCAAAAAGUGCCAAUAUGUCGUCGCUCGAUGAGGGAUUUCCACUGCUUGCUCCACUACUAGGUGGAGUAUUUAGAUCAGGUGGAUCCAAAUAUGAAAGCAGUUCCAUUGGAUCUACGACAUUGUCCGGCAAGAGCUAAAAAAAAGAGAGAGAGAUGCAAAAAAUCAGGUCAAGAUGCAAAAAUCAGUACCCUCGCCAUCUAUAACCGCAGCUGGAUCGAAAUUUAAGUCUGACGGUAUAUCCGCGGUAUCGGUAUUUAUAUUUGUACUCGUAUUACCAGACGUAUUAUGGUUUCCUGUAGAUUCCUGAGAUGCAGGAGGAACACUUGGUGGACCACUGUUACCACCACCCGGUGUGUGCGGCGUGUGAGGGGUAUGAGGUGUGUGUGGAGUAUGCGGCAUCUAUGAUCGCAACAUAAAAUACGAAUAAAUGUAUGGGAAAGGAUUUAUUUAUUAAUAUCGAAUUAAACCUAUUGUAUGCAGGAAACAUACCUGAUCAUUUAACGAUUUUUCCAUAGCAUUAAGGGGAUCCAAUGAAUUCACUGAUUCAUUCAAAUGAGUAAGAGGUCCCGUUCCGCUACUAUAAUCGUUAUUGGUUGAGUUAUUCGUUCCAGGAUUAAUAUCGAACGAUCCACCAGAUGAAUUUCGGUGAUUGAUAUUAUUGUUCCCGUAAGUGGACGACGUGUUGUUCAUCAUCGAGCCGCUUACUAUGCUGCUCAUGUCCGGUGGUAUGUAGGGACUCAUAGCUUGAUUCAUGUCCCAAUUAUUCAUAGUGGGCAUAUUCAUACUUCCAGGUGACAUCGCUUUCGUCAUUCUUUUACAAUCAUUUUCCUCUUCCGACUUAAUAUUGGCUAAAUUUUUAGCAGGCUUCCAAUUUGCCGCGGAGUCUAUCGUUACUUCUUCUACCUCUGCAGUAUUCAGAGUAUUCAGAAUUCCCCACAUAUAUUGAUCGACUUCCAAACCUUCUAAUUGAGCUGGUUUUCUGUGAAAUCAGAAUAAUGACGUUAUUCGUAAUAACAUAUUUGUUAUUUUAUGUCGAUAAUUAUAACGAAUAAUCGAUUUGAUUGUUGAUACUUACGUGCACACAGGACACCUCCAUGAACCCCGUUCGCAAUUUAAUUGCAAGUAAGACUCCAAAUCGAAACAUUGUAUAUGUUUGCAAUCGUGUCCCCUCGCUGGCAGUGUAAUACGUUUGAAAGUUAUAGGACAUUUUAAAGAUACCUGUAAAAAGAUGAUAUUAUAACGUUGAAACAUUCGUACAGAUUUAUAAAUCAAUAUAAAAACAUUUGACAAACUAUUGUCGUUCUUACCUUAAGUGCUGUUUGUUCCACGACAUCUUUCUCUGAUUGAAUGCCGUUACUCGAAAUUGUAUUGUUAAAAUUUCUUUUGAUUUUCGUUAUGCAGUGUUCUGCGGUAAGUAAUCUCUUGCGUAAUAAACCUUGUAGAACGCUACGUACACUUGGUCGAUGAACUAAUUGGAGAACGAAUAGAUGUGACUGUAAAUCAGAAUAAACAUUUAUAUUAAUACGUAUACGAAUUAAAAAUAUUUUGUUAGCGAUGCUAACGUAUGACGAAUAUCUGUUAAUUACUUACACAACAGCAUGCGGAUACUGUAAUCUGUAUAGUAUUUCUUCCUGGUUGGCACACGUCUUUCAGAUAAAGAGGCUUGUGGGAUGUCUUGUUUUCCCCACGAUCAAUAACGAGAGGCGUUGCAUUGACAGAAACCUGAACGCUUGCGGGCCAAUUUGUAUUCAUUUGUCUAUCUUCGUGGUGGAAACAUUUAAGCUGUAGCUCCAAAUCGGAUCGCCACAUUAACGUUUGAUGAACCGUAGAUUUCAGUUGAAAUACGUGGUUGCUUACAGCCAAAUUAUGUUCUAAGCGGAAGGGUGGAAGAAUAAUACCGUCUCUCACGGGGAAUGUUAAUCUUAACUCGUCGUCUUCUGCGAACAAGAAGAUUCAUUAUUAGGCGAUUUGAUUUCAUUGAAAUUUGGUUUAAUGUCCGGAUUUGGACUGAUGUAAGGUGGCAUACUGGUCGCUGGCGUUAACGGAGGAGUUGGAUUCCCAGGUAUAGGACUAUGCUGAUAAUUCAGGUUCGCUGCCCCCGUCGUUCUCAU